AUAAUGUAUUAUAUAUUUAACGACUUUAUAAAAAAAAAAUAAAUGACAAGAAAAGAGAAGAGUAAAACUAGUUGGAUAGUAUGUAUAGAAAGAAGAGAAGAUAAUCAAGAGCUCCGGCAUGAAGAGAGUUUGAAAGUAAAGAGAAUGAAAGGUGCAGCCAUAAGUACAAUCUCGUUCGACGGUCGAAGAAACGUAGUACGUCCAGGCAAAUACACAGGGCCGCAGUUCGUUGCAUCGAUUCGAAUGUUCAAAGAUACUACCGAAGGCGAUCUCGUUGCUGCGUUAUAAAUAGAAUUUAGCGUUUACUCCCGCGAUUGCGGCCCUACAUCGAGGAGAGCUAUUUUCGAGAUCCAUCGCGAGUCGUUACAGUCCUCUUCUUGGUUCUAACGAGUUUCGUUCGGAAGGAGCACUGUAGUUCCUAACAAAUAAUUCACUGAAAGAGAGAAAAA
rnacentral:lncRNA from 1 species